rnacentral:rRNA from 1 species
CCUACGGGAGGCAGCAGUAGGGAAUAUUGGGCAAUGGAGGCAACUCUGACCCAGCCAUGCCGCGUGAACGAAGAAGGCGCUAUGCGUCGUAAAGUUCUUUUAGAGGGGGCGAAAACACUUGAUUCAUCAAGUACUGACGGUACCUUCGGAAUAAGCACCGGCUAACUCUGUGCCAGCAGCCGCGGUAAUACAGAGGGUGCAAGCGUUAUCCGGAAUCACUGGGUUUAAAGGGUGCGUAGGCGGGAUUAUAAGUCAGAGGUGAAAUCUCGUCGCUUAACGACGGAAUUGCCUUUGAUACUGUUUUUACUUGAAAUUUGUUGAGGUUGGCGGAAUGAGACAUGUAGCGGUGAAAUGCUUAGAUAUGUCUUAGAACACCGAUUGCGAAGGCAGCUGACUGGACAAUAUUUGACGCUGAGGCACGAAAGCGUGGGGAUCAAACAGGAUUAGAUACCCUGGUAGUCCACGCCCUAAACGAUGUUUACUUGCUGUUUGUCUUUCGGGAUGAGUGGCGAAGCGAAAGCGAUAAGUAACCACCUGGGGAGUACGCCCGGCAAGGGGUUGAAACGUCGAAAGUAGUAGUAGCGNGNGACGAGCGACGACGACGACGACGGAGGAGG